rnacentral:rRNA from 1 species
CAACUUUCAACAACGGAUCUCUUGGCUCUUGCAUCGAUGACGAACGCAGCGAAAUGCGAUAAGUAAUGUGAAUUGCAGAAUUCAGUGAAUCAUCGAAUCUUUGAACGCACCUUGCGCUCUUUGGUAAUCCGAAGAGCAUGCCUGUUUG